ensembl:lncRNA
UGAGACACCAAAGAUUGACUGGAUGAAGGGGAGAAAAUGGAUGAAUGUGGAUUAAAUAAUUCCAUCCGCAGGUUCUGGACAAGCCCACUCAUACUGCAACACUCUUCUCCCCAGUGUGUGACGCUCACUUGGACAGAAAAUCUCAACUGGCCCUGCAUGAGCGGAGUGUGAUCCUGCUCGGUAACAAAGGCGCUGCAGAGCCAUAAAUCUCUGCCUGAUUUCCAUGUGAAAAGCCUGUGAAGACAGAGAUGCGUAGAGCCCGCCUGCAUACCUCUCCCUCCCUGCUUAACCUCGCUUGACAUGUUUCUCCGAGCUGUGGAGGAGACCGCUCAGCUCUCUUGACCUUGCUAUGGAGAGAAAGAAAGAAAAAAAAACACACACACACACAUUAGGAAUAAAAACAAUAGUGUUGUGCAUGCUCUUCUUCUCUGUGCCCACUUUCUAACAGCUCACAAUCCUGACAUUUCUUCUUCCUCUGUCUCUCCAUCUCUCUCUGUCUCUCCUCUCCUCUCUCUCUCACUCUCUCCUGUCCUCUCUCUCUUUCCUCUCCUCUCUCUCUCUGUUUUUCUCGCUCUCCCUCUUACUCUCACCCUCAGGGCCUUUGCUCAGCUGCAGUAUUAGAGCAAUUGAUUAUCCAACAUACCUCUCCACUGCUUCUAGCUGUACUUUUCUCUGCCAUGCACAUUCCUCCAUGCUUUUGCCCACAGAAAGAAAUGAGCCAUGUGUUUCUCUCUCUCUCUCUCUCUCUCUCUUCCCUUCACUCACACACACACACACACACACACACACAGAGAUACACACGCAUAACAACAAGGUCA